UCUUUUUUUUUUCUGAUUCUGCCUGAUAAGAUACUGAUAUAGUUUUCUUGUGGCAGUAAACCUUAAGAUAUUUAUUCUACUUUAUAGUGUAAGCAUUUCAAAUGUUAGUUUUUUGAAUGAGGGCCUGAGUUAAGCGCUAGUUUUACUCUUGAUGACCUUAGCAUCAACUAGAUUUAGAUUGUUUUUCUUAUUGUGCAGGUUUAAUUCUCACUUCUGAUCUGAUGGUGUUUACUGUUGGUCACAUUGUUGAUUUUGAACUGAAUGAUGAAUAGAUGUCAAGUCCAUGUUUGUAGGCGCAUUGUGGUGAUUGGUUAAACCCUGUGUUCUCUUCAAAAUAGAGUAGCUCAGUCUGCUGUUUUGCAGUUAUAUAAGUUGUCUCUUUCGGGGAGAGCAAAGUAUAUGGUAUUAAAGAUUUCCAAUUCCACUUUCAAGCAUUACUUAUUCUUAUUACUUUGAACAUCAUUUUUGCUAUUGGAUAAUCUAAUUCCGCAGUGGGAAGCCUUAUGUUUAUUGCCAUAAAAAGCAAAUUUGUACAAUUAUAGUUGAGGAUCAUGAUUGAUGGACUUAUUUGUUUUCUAUUAUGAUUAAUGAUGCAAAAAAUGUCCUACAGAUUAUCAUUGGAAAUCUAGGAAGUGGCAUUAAUAUGAAGAGGCUAAUUAUAAUCCUGCUAUGUGAUCCUUUUGGUGUGCAGUGUGGGGGGAUGAAGGUUGAUUUUCAGAAGUUCUGUUGGAGUGGUAGUCAACUUUAUAUGUUUCGGUCAGAAGUUGUGAAGUAGUAAUUCAGGUUGGAUUUGUUAAUGUCUGUGUGCUCAGCGGAUGUCACCUAGAUAAUCCGCAGCCUGCAUUUUGAUCUAUCAUGAGAUGUGAUAUCCUAAAAUUAUCUUGUGGGAAUAAUCAAAAUGGUGUGCCCUUAAUGUUGUACCGACUGGGUUUAUCUGGUGAUGGAUGGUGGCAUAAUUUUGGGAUUUUGCUGUGAGUGCUGCGAUAUGCAUUAGUUACCUCCAGAAAUUUUGUGAUUUACACAUUGGUUGCAGAGCAUUAGGUGGCAGUAAGCUUGAUCAUAGGGGAAAACAAUAAUUAAAAGCAUGGAGAUGCUAAUGUCUAUAUAGCUGAAGUUCAAGGCCUGAUGGCUUCAGGUUUACAUAGGUCAUGAGCUUGGAGGGGAAACUUGUACCUAAUGUCUCACGACUGAAACCAAAAGUCCGAAUGAUCAUAAUUUCACUUCCUAGAUGGAGUGUCUUGACUGAAGUGCUGAUUGCAUAUUAAUUAACUAUGCUGCUGGCAAGGCUUGUUUUUGCUGCUGUAAACUAAAGAACAAUUAUGAGACUUGGGCAUUAGGGAGUGUCCCCUUGUGUCUUAGACAUCUUCUUUUUUACUCAUCUUCAGGAAUAUCUAUAAACAUGUAUAUGAACUAUGGAAGCUUGUUUUAUGCAGAUUAUUGCAUAUGCUUUUCUAGGGAUACACAUACAACCCUUGAUUUUGUAUCAUAAAAGACUUCAAUAGUAACAAUCGACGCUGUCUUAUUAUAAUCAUGUAUAUUCUAGUUUUUAGAGAAACUUUUCAUUAUAAUUAGGGGAAGAUUUCAUCUGAAUGUGGAAAUUUACAGUUAUCUUGGACAAGCAACUUCAAGUAGGAAUAUAGAAUUAGGAACUACUAUGCGGGCAAUAAAAUGGCUGCUUAAGCUUUUCUUGGUUUGGCCGUUGUCUUUUAAAGAUUUUCUAUACUAUUUAUGCCUCUUUUAGGUGUCUUUCUCCAUCAUUCUUCCCAUUUAUACAACCAAUUUGGAUCUUGUAGCGAAACUUCUUUUUAAAUUCAUCUAUUUUAUGGUAGAGCUAUUGAUAACCGAGUUUGCAAUGAAGAAUAAAAUCACAAAUGACGUGGAUGGAAAUAAUAUAAAAAUAUUUACAAUUUUUGGGUAUUAAAAUUAGCUUCAAAAAAAGCUGAAAAGUGAAAAAGGAUCCAUAUGGCUGGCCUCAACUAGUCUGAGACUAAGACUUAGUUGUUGUAAAAAUUACUGCACUUACAACUUUUAGUGGUAAACUAGGACACUCUGGUUGUAAAUUCUACAUCAGCUCAAUACUGCAGUUCCUGGCUGGCUAUUAGAACUUUUAUUUUUACUUCAUUUUUCAUGGCACAGUUAACUUACAAAAUGUAUGAAGUUAUACAGGUAAGACGCAAAUUUAAGUCUAAAUUAUUCAGCUAAUCUUAGGCAAUAACUAUUCAUAUGUAGUUUUAAGGUUUUUACAAUUUGUAUUUGGAAUUAAACCCUUUUAAGGAUUUUUGUUUUAUUUUAUUUUAACUAUUGAUUGGAAUUGCAAGAAGAAGUGGUGAUUGAAGUAAAACAAACUCAUAGGCAGUUACUCAAAUGUUGAAGAUAAUAUUGUUUACCAAAAGAAGUGAAAGAUUUUGCUUUCAAAAACUAAGAAAGUUAGUUUCUCUAUCUCUUGUCCUUACCCUAUUAUUUCUUCCUUCUCAUGUCCUUUUGAGUCUUUAGGCAUUUGUUGAAUGUUGAUGAUAAGUUAUUUUAGAAUUAGAAUUAUCUUUUUCCUACAAUUAGUGAGGAAGCACUUGGGGGUUUUAGUUUCCAUUUUUUCACUCUAGAAAUUUCACUAUUUUUUUCCCUUUGGUUAAUAUACUUUUACUUUAUGCCUAGUGUACCUUGAAAAGGCAAACAUGCAUGUAUUACUGUGUUUCUGUUUAACUUUAAAUAACCACGUGUUCCUUAGAUAUCUUUGGGACUAUCACCUUUCACUUGAUAGUUCACAACUGCAUUUCUUCCAAUUUCUGCUGUCAUUAUGAUUUAGAAUUAUGAUUUUCCUGGUAUUUUGAAGAGGUAUAAAUCUAUCAAAAAUCAACAAACAGUUUUCUCCCAAAUAACUUAUUCGAGUAAUAUAUCAGCUUCUUCAGUUAGUUAAAAUUAUGAAUCUGGGAUCUCUUCCUAUUGCUUGACUGGUACGGAUUUUUUUUCAUGCCUGCAAGUUUUUAGCAUGUCUCCAACUUCUCUUUCAUUUCGCAAUAUGUUGCAAGACAGUUUCCUGUUAAUUUUACAUGUUUUUUUUGCAGUGAUUAUUAUAUUGGUCCUCAAAAAGUUGGUGGCUAAGAAGGAGAUUGGUAAUAGUUUAUAGGAACGUUUUAGUAAUUUCUUUAGCUCUAUAUCUCACAUUUGGCUUUCUAGGAGAGGCUUCCUGUCUAAUAGCAUUUGAUGCGGUAACAUGGUAGAUGUCUCUAUCUACUCACGGUCAAUUAUCCUCAGUUUGGGGAGCCGCCUUUAUUGUUUUCCACUGCAUCAUGUCCUAGCAUUCUAAUAGGAUGUUGCCGUUGAUAGCCUUGUUUCAUUUGUGAAAGUAAGGGCAUGUUGAUUUACAAUUUUGGUGUCUUGACCUCGUAAGAUUCAAGGCUUAAAAAAAAUUCAGUGUACUCUAAUUUGAAUGGUUAAUGUCACGUUCAGUUAGGGAGAAUUUCUUGCUCGGGUGGCAGCAUGACGAUGCAGCCGUCAUAUUGUAAAGGCACGGGAAGCGAUCCUCUUUCAAAAAAAGAGGUUUUCCCAAAAUCACAGGCAGGCUUAUGGAUUGAUGAUAGCUAUAGCAUCAACAAUGGAGGUGUUGUUCUAACAAAAUCUAAGAAGCCUGAGGAGCCUACAAAGGCAACUAGGAAACGAGCCAGACCUGGGGAAAGUACUAGACCAAGGCCGAAAGACCGUCAACAGAUCCAAGACCGCAUGAAAGAGUUGAAAGGAAUCAUCCCUGAUGGUGGAAAGGUAUGCAAUCUUAAGUCUUUGCUUUAAGGAAAUAAUCCUCAAAAGAAGUGUGUCCUGUUAUUCAGAAUUUUAUUUUUGUCAAAAAGAGUUGGGAAUGUAUUUGCCUUCUUGAAGGAUGAUAUACAUGCUUCCUGAUAAAACCUUGUCUCCAUCAUUUUCACUCUUUGGAUUUUCCAAAACUUAUUGAAUCUCUUGCUCAUUAA